CCCGGGCCUUGUACACACCGCCCGUCACACCAUGGGAGUUGGUUUUACCCGAAGCCGGUGCGCCAACCGCAAGGAGGCAGCCGACCACGGUAAGGUCAGCGACUGGGGUG
rnacentral:rRNA from 1 species